AUGGGCCAGCUGAAUGGUGCAGAUAUAUUUUGGAGGUCAGCCCUAUCGUGCGUGGCCGGCGAGCGACACCACCAGUAGGUCGACGAUGCCACAACAUCAACAGAGGCCAGAACCAAUCUCGCCGGCAGGUACAUUGACUGUACGGAUGCUGCUCCUCAGGGGAUUCUUGAUCUCUGCUUAUGCAUUUGAUAGCUGCUCCUUCUUGAUCAUGGAUGUGUUAAGUUGAUUCAAACGGCACACAUGUUCAUGGCCACAGUUAAUUUGCAAGAUCAAAACAAAUGUUUUCUUGCUGCUUUGAGUAGAAGCCCGUAGUUAAUUUGCAACAAAAAACUCAGUAUUGCUGGUGUUUUUCUUUCUCCGUUCCAUGUACCCCUUGAAUGAAAUGAAAUGAUGGCUUAGUAAAAGGUCUUGAGAAA